rnacentral:piRNA from 1 species
UCAAAUGAACAGGAAAGGCCACCGGGAGUA